CUGUAGUCUGCAACCCGACUACACGAAGCCGGAAUCGCUAGUAAUCGCGGAUCAGAAUGCCGCGGUGAAUACGUUCCCGGGUCUUGUACACACCGCCCGUCACACCAUGGGAGUCGGAAAUGCCCGAAGUCAGUGACCGAACCGAAAGGAAGAAGCUGCCGAAGGUGGAGCCGGUAACUGGGGUGAAGUCGUAACAAGGUAAC
rnacentral:rRNA from 1 species